ensembl:lncRNA
AUCACGAAAGUUACCCCUUGAUAUAAUAUUGAUUCUUUAUAACUAGCUCCAAACACAAAAAUCAAACUGUCCACUUGACCAUCAUCAUCAUCAAUAUCAUCACAAAGGCUCCGGAAUAAAGAUCAGCACAGGACUGAAAACGCUUUCUAUAAUCUGCCCACCUAAUCUUUAUUUGCUGAUGAUGAAAGGAGAAGGGGUGUGCGCGCGUGUGUGUGUGUGUGUGUGUGUGUGUGUGUCUGUGUGCGAGCGCUGUCCGGGAGGGGGAUGGGGGGGGAUGGGGGGGGGAGGGCAUCGGAGCAGGGAAUGUCAUCUGAGCAAACAAAAAACAACACAGGAGGUUAAGAAAAAAAGAAGCCCGCUCAGCCUCCUUGCCAAGAAACCCAAUGAUGAUCGCAGAAGUUAACGAUCGCGCCCCGAAGCUCUGCUUUCCUGGAGGAGGGGAACCCCGCGCUCGGCAGGCCCGGCUUUGGGUUUAUGCUUCUUCCCCCCCCCCCCCCCCCCCCCCCACGAGCGGAGCGGUCCUCAGUGAAGGCAGAGAGUUAAGUAAGAAAGCAACCGCGGCAGAGUGCUCUCAGGCAGCGUUACUCCUCGCUUAGCAUCAGCACUAACGAGUCGUCCUCUCCCCUCGCCCGUCCGCAAAGCGAUCCAUCAUUUAUUUCCAGAUCACCUGGUGAUCUGUAACACAGAAAGAAAAAAAAAAAGAGAGAGAGAGAUUAAGGAAGGAGCCGCCGACACCGCUCCAUGCGCAAUACCUAUCGGCUGAUGUAGAAAAGAAAGCAUAAUCCACAUGUAUAUUGCCUUUAACGAAAGGUAUUUCCUUCGCCUUCCCUCCCUACAGUACCGGCAUGCUUUUGCUGAGGGCUGCGUUUGCACAGUCGCCAGUAAUUACACGCGUGUGUCCGCCGGGAGAACGAAGGUUGGGAAGGUGGGAGGUAGGACGUGAUUCCUCUUUGGAGCAAUCAGGACUGGGAAAGGUUUCAUUCCGUGCAGACGUUGCCUUUGCUAGAUGGUGUCUCCCUUCGUGAGGAAUGGUGCUAAAAGUGGAUGGAAUCUGUUAAAGACACUGCUCUGCAUGUGGAAUUAUGGCAGAACUGACACUGACUAGAUCCUCCACAUUGGAGUUCAGUGAACCAAAGUGAGCUGCACUAUUUCCGUGCUUGACCUGCAGUGAGGAAUAUCACAUACAUACUUCUUGAUAAUCUCCAGUGAAACUGGAAAAAAACAAACAAACAAAAAAAGUG